AUACGGAGGAUCCGAGCGUUAUCCGGAUUUAUUGGGUUUAAAGGGUGCGCAGGCGGCCAAUUAAGUCAGCGGUUAAAUCGUGGGGCUCCACCCCAUUCUGCCGUUGAUACUGGGUGGCUUGAUUGCGGUCGAGGUUGGCGGAAUUCGUUGUGGAGCGGUGAAAUGCAUAGAUAUGACGAAGAACACCGAUUGCGUAGGCAGCUGACCAGAUCGCAAAUGACGCUCAUGCACGAAAGUGCGGGGAUCGAACAGGAUUAGAUACCCUGGUAGUCCGCACAGUAAACGAUGAAUACUUGUUUUCGGCGAUAUAAUGUCGGAGGCAAAGCGAAAGCGAUAAGUAUUCCACCUGGGGAGUACGCCGGCAACGGUGAAACUCAAAGGAAUUGACGGGG
rnacentral:rRNA from 1 species